CCACAGCACAAUUUCACCGCCAAGGAUUUCACGCGCGAAGACUUCGCUCCUCCUCCUCCACCCGCGGCUGCGAAAACAUCGCUUCUCCUCUCUCGCUCAUCCUCCUCCCCGCGUGUAUUGAAGUUGCAUCCUCACCGGAGCUCCUCCCUGCUGCAGCCGCUUCGCCGCAUCCUGCUUCUUCCCCACCGCCGCGGCCAUUCUCCUCGCUCGCUCCUCCUUCUCCCCACGUGUACUGAAGCCGCAUCCUCGCCGGAGCAGCCGCUGCUGCCGCUGCCGGAUACUGCUUCUUCCUCACCGCCACGGCCGGAUCCGACCUCGGCCCCUUCUGCCGUCACCGACACCGCCGUGCACUCCGCCGCUGGCCGGCACCGAGGUCGGCCCUCUUCCCCAUUUGCCACUUCAUCAUCAUCAGAUCGCCAAUGUUGA
rnacentral:lncRNA from 1 species